rnacentral:misc_RNA from 1 species
GAAAACUCUGCCAUAUCUUCGGCAUAAAUUAUGAUGUCUUUUGUCUCUUUAAGUUCUUGAUUUGAGUUAGCACUAAUAAAUUCAUUAAUAUAAUUGUUUAAGUGAGCAGAUCAGCCAUCGUCCUCUACCCAGCAGCCACAAUAGUCUGCGGUGUACUGUGAGUAAAUAUUGAUUUUAUAUAUAAUUUCAAUAUUAUUAUAUAU